GGAAAAGUGAGUACCGGCUAGUAUCGCGAGAUCAGGAAGGUGGCCGAGUGUGUCGCCGCGGCCAUCAGGGGCUAGAGCAAUGUAUCUUAGGCUCACUUAAGGAAGCUGUAGAGAUGAGCCCAAGGAGGGAAACCAGAAGAGCCCCCCAGGCUCACCAGUUGUUUGUUGGCUCCCUACAAACAUGUCAUUCAAGUGGCUAAUCUUACAACAGCACAAAUUCAUCUAACCAGAAAGAGAAGAGGAGGCUCCAAAGGCACUUGACUACUGAGCAUCACCCUGGACGUGUACAAGUCUGCGUCCUUAUUGUUUUCUUCAUUGGGCCGAACUUUCUGGUCCUCAUCCAACAGCUCUUCUAUCACGUGUUCGAAAGUGUCAGCCAAUGAUGUCAAGCCUCUUGAACCUGCCUUGGGCCCAUUCACGCUCUCCAGAGUCCCAUGGGUCCGCACACCUGGAGAUACUCUAUUAUAGCAAAGAAGAAAGAUAAUUUCAUUGAGCCAUCCUGUUUUACAGCACCCAACAGAAUCCCUUCAAAGCCUCGUGGUCUGACACCCUAUGCUACGUGACUUGUGACCCAUCCAUUUGUCAUGUUCUUCGGGAAUGUGGCUAAGGGGCUAAGAUGUGACUUGAAAAGAAAGGUAGAACAAGAUCAUCUCAAAUUUAUUAUCAAGGAAUAGUUCAGAAAACGACUUCAGACCACAGAGACAGCAGAACAGAUGGUCCGGCAUGGAUAGAGCAUCAGACACUCACAGACUGUGCCAACAAGAGCCAUCGAGUCAAAACAGCCAAAGGAAGGAGGGUCAUGGAAUGGGUUCUCUCACACCAAACUGAUGCCCAGAGGCCCUCAGCAUGAAUAACAAAGGCAACCAGACCCACAAGCCAUACUGAGUGGAUACAAAACCUAUACCUAGGCUGACAUCCCAAAUGUGUGUGGCAAGUUAGAUGAUGAUGGCACAAAAGACAGAACACCUUGCUUCUGGCCAUUGUCAGCUCUUGGAAGAGAGCACACUUUUAGAGGAGCAGCUGCAAGGAGCCUGAGAACAAAACUGGAAAUGUCUGUUAUGAAAGCCUUCACAGGAAAUUCUGCAAGUGGCAACGUGGGUCCAUUCCGUGUGUGUCACUAGAGCUGGCGCAAGCCCAUGGCCAUGGUGAGGCAGCGUUUCCACUGGAACUAAUCUGAUACCUGCACCAGCUCUUGCAACUGUGCAGUGUUCCCACUGCAAACUACGGAUGGGGUAAAAGACUGCUCACCUCCUAUUUCUCAUCUAAUCUCACACACUCUGUUUGAUGAGGCUAUGGAGAAACAGGUCUUCUCAUACACUAAAGGUGGGAGUACAAACAAUUCAAGCCCUGUGCAGGACAAUUAGGCAAUACCUAUCAAAAUUAUACAUGAUUUUUCCUGCUGACCCAGCAAUUCCACUUCUGGGAAUAAUUGACAGAUAUAGGUGCAUAUGUACAAAAUGAUGGAAAGCUCUCUGGUAUAUAUUAGUAAGUGAUAAAACAAGGUGUAAAAUAGUGUAUAUAUGGCUACUACCUUUUGUUUUAAAAAUGGGGGAAAAUGGUGGAGCUUGCGGUGAGCCGAGAUCGUGCCACUGCACUCCAGCCUGGGCGACAGAGCGAGACUCCGUCUCAAAAAAAAAACAGGGUGGGGUGGGGGGGAAAUAAUAGUACAUACUCAUAUUUACCUGUAUCUAUAUAAAACACACUAUCAAGGAUUCACAAGAAACUAAUACAAAUGAUCACCUUAUAGAUGGUAUGUAUUGGGGGAUACUGAGGUGAGCAGGGUAUAAGUGGGGCAAGACUUUUCAGUGUAAACUUCUUUUAAAUUUUAUUUUGAUUUUUGAAUAAUGUAAAUUAACUGUCAAAUAAUUAAAUUAAAAAUAACCAAUUUAUUAACAAAA
rnacentral:lncRNA from 1 species